UCCCGUAGCCGAGGACGAGGCGAGGAUCUCGGAGAGCAACGUGAUGGUGGGGAUCCAUUGCUAGGACGCAAGAGGGUGCUUGUCAGGCUGCUCGCCGAGGUCGAGGGGCUACACCUAAUCAUCACGCACGCCAAUGUCAUCCCGUUCCUGGCUUCCACUGUUAUCAUAACCUUCAUGGCAAAGGUGGAUGAGGGCUUCAAUGUCUUGGCCUGCAGUCGGUAUCAUUCAUCACCGUGCUUGACGGAACUGCUCGCCACCGAGUCGGGUGCACCACAAGUACGAACACGCCGCCAUCUACCCACUCCUCCCUUGCUGUAGGUCGGCAGAUGGUGAGGAACGUCCAUCCCAUGGUUGCAAGUUUCAUCGUCCCACGAUUAUAAACAAACUGGUUGAGACUUGACGGCCAGGUUAUUUAGACUGACCUACUGAACCAGGAACCAAGAUUGCUGUGUUUCAACAAUUGAGAAAAUAUCACAUAUGCAAAACCAGCUACCGACCAGAUUGUUAGAUCCUGGUGGUGUAAAUAAGAACGAAAGCUUCUGAAGAGAUCGGUGCACUAUCUCUUAUGCAAUGCUACUGCAAUUGAUUACUUUCCAAUCUCUGAUUUAUUCUGCUCAUAUUUAUUGGGAACACUAGGAGGCAUUGCAAUAUCAUGGUAGCAAUGACAAUUACUAGCUAGCUGAACUGAGGAUGUGGGGUUAAGGUUGGAAUGGAUAAACCUGGGUGGUUACUGCCAAGCAUUUGAAGAAAAUUGAGCCAAUGGAGUGUCUUGAAAGCAUCUCCAUAUUUACAGCUGAACAGAUUUGUUGUCAUAUGAAACAGAGAGAUUGUACCACACUUUGUAAAAUGCCGAGGCACAUUACAUGUUCUUUCUUACUACUUAUUUUACCACAUAUAAAAAGGUUUCAUUAUUGCUGCUACCCUAAGAAUUGUGUCAUCAUUCCUUAUAAUUGCAGUUUUUCAUCCUUUGGGAAUUUAGGAUGCAAGGGAUGGUAUUUCAUCAAAGGUGAUUUUUGGCUUGAAG